CCUACGGGAGGCAGCAGUGAGGAAUAUUGGACAAUGGGUGGAAGCCUGAUCCAGCCAUCCCGCGUGUAGGAAGACGGCCCUAUGGGUUGUAAACUACUUUUAUCUGGGGAUAAACCUACUUACGUGUAAGUAGCUGAAGGUACCAGAUGAAUAAGCACCGGCUAACUCCGUGCCAGCAGCCGCGGUAAUACGGAGGGUGCAAGCGUUAUCCGGAUUUAUUGGGUUUAAAGGGUCCGUAGGCGGACUGAUAAGUCAGUGGUGAAAUCCGACAGCUUAACUGUCGAACUGCCAUUGAUACUGUUAGUCUUGAGUAAGGUUGAAGUGGCUGGAAUAAGUAGUGUAGCGGUGAAAUGCAUAGAUAUUACUUAGAACACCAAUUGCGAAGGCAGGUCACUAAGUCUUAACUGACGCUGAUGGACGAAAGCGUGGGGAGCGAACAG
rnacentral:rRNA from 1 species